rnacentral:rRNA from 1 species
AAUGAACGUUGGCGGCGUGGAUUAGGCAUGCAAGUCGGACGCCCCGCAAGGGGCGUGGCGCAAGGGUGAGUAGGGCGACGGCAACCAACCCCGAGGCCGGGCAUAGCCGCCCGAAAGGGCGGGUAAUUCCCGGCGGCCUCGCGUGGGGGCAUCCCCGUGCGAGUAAAGGUGCGAUUCCGCCUCGGGACGGGCCGUCGUGGUAUCAGGUAGUUGGCGGGGUAGUAGCCCACCAAGCCUUCGACGCCUACCGGGCGUGCGAGCGUGGCCCGGCACACUGGGACUGAGACACUGCCCAGACACCUACGGGUGGCUGCAGUCGAGAAUCUUCGGCAAUGGGCGCAAGCCUGACCGAGCGACGCCGCGUGGAGGACGAAGGCCUUCGGGUUGUAAACUCCUGUCGAGGGGGAGCAAGGCCGCGCGAAGAGCGCGGCUCGAGCGAUCCCUGGAGGAAGCACGGGCUAAGUUCGUGCCAGCCGCCGCAGUAAC